rnacentral:rRNA from 1 species
UCUCAGUACGAGCCGUAUUAAGGUGAAACCGCGAAAGGCUCAUUAAAUCAGUUAUGGUUCCUUAGAUCGUACCCACAUUUACUUGGAUAACUGUGGUAAUUCUAGAGCUAAUACAUGCAAACAGAGCUCCGACCGGAGACGGAAGGAGCGCUUUUAUUAGAUCAAAACCAAUCGGUGGCGGGCUUGCCCGUCAUCGUACACCUCGGUGACUCUGAAUAACUUUUUGCUGAUCGCACGGUCUCGCACCGGCGACGCAUCUUUCAAAUGUCUGCCUUAUCAACUGUCGAUGGUAGGUUCUGCGCCUACCAUGGUUGUAACGGGUAACGGGGAAUCAGGGUUCGAUUCCGGAGAGGGAGCCUGAGAAACGGCUACCACAUCCAAGGAAGGCAGCAGGCGCGCAAAUUACCCACUCCCGGCACGGGGAGGUAGUGACGAAAAAUAACGAUACGGGACUCAUCCGAGGCCCCGUAAUCGGAAUGAGUACACUCUAAACCCUUUAACGAGGAUCAAUUGGAGGGCAAGUCUGGUGCCAGCAGCCGCGGUAAUUCCAGCUCCAAUAGCGUAUAUUAAAGUUGUUGCGGUUAAAAAGCUCGUAGUCGAAUUUGUGUCCCGCGCCGCCGGUUCAUCGCUCGCGGUGUUUAACUGGCGUGUCCGCGGGACGUCCUGCCGGUGGACUUAGUCCCUUCGGGGGCGGUCCAACUUGAAAUCCCACCGCGGUGCUCUUUGCCGAGUGUCGAGGUGGGCCGGCACGUUUACUUUGAACAAAUUAGAGUGCUUAAAGCAGGCUAAAACUUUGCCUGAAUACUGUGUGCAUGGAAUAAUGGAAUAGGACCUCGGUUCUAUUUUGUUGGUUUUCGGAACUCCGAGGUAAUGAUUAAUAGGAACGGAUGGGGGCAUUCGUAUUGCGACGUUAGAGGUGAAAUUCUUGGGAUCGUCGCAAGACGGACAGAAGCGAAAGCAUUUGCCAAAAACGCUUUCAUUGAUCAAGAACGAAAGUUAGAGGUU